rnacentral:rRNA from 1 species
AUUGAACGCUGGCGGCAUGCCUUACACAUGCGAGUCGAACGGCAGCACGGGUGCUUGCACCUGGUGGCGAGUGGCGAACGGGUGAGUAAUACAUCGGAACAUGUCCUGUAGUGGGGGAUAGCCCGGCGAAAGCCGGAUUAAUACCGCAUACGAUCUACGGAUGAAAGCGGGGGACCUUCGGGCCUCGCGCUAUAGGGUUGGCCGAUAGCUGAUUAGCUAGUUGGUGGGGUAAAGGCCUACCAAGGCGACGAUCAGUAGCUGGUCUGAGAGGACGACCAGCCACACUGGGACUGAGACACGGCCCAGACUCCUACGGGAGGCAGCAGUGGGGAAUUUUGGACAAUGGGCGAAAGCCUGAUCCAGCAAUGCCGCGUGUGUGAAGAAGGCCUUCGGGUUGUAAAGCACUUUUGUCCGGAAAGAAAUCCUUGGCUCUAAUACAGUCGGGGGAUGACGGUACCGGAAGAAUAAGCACCGGCUAACUACGUG